UACAACUAUUAACCAGGUUCUUUCUUUCCUCUAAUCACUUUACAACCGCAAUGGCUUCUUCCUUCGCGCGGCUUGGCUGGAUCAGGGUUGCCCCCAUUGUCUAAAAUUCCCCACUGCUGCCUCCCGUAGG
rnacentral:rRNA from 1 species